CCUACGGGGGGCUGCAGUAGGGAAUAUUAGUAAUGGGCGAAAGCCUGAACUAGCGACACCGCGUGUGCGAAGAAGGCCUUCGGGUUGUAAAGCACUUUUAGAGAGGAUGAGGAAGGACGGUACUCUCUGAAUAAGUCUCGGCUAACUACGUGCCAGCAGCCGCGGUAACACGUAGGAGGCAAACGUUAUCCGGAUUUACUGGGCGUAAAGCGCGUGUAGGUGGUUCUGUAAGUAGGGCGUGAAAGCUCCUGGCUCAACUGGGAGAGGCCGUUCUAAACUGCAGAGCUAGAGGAUGGUAGAGGAAGGUGGAAUUCCGGGUGUAGCGGUGGAAUGCGCAGAUAUCCGGAGGAACACCAGUGGCGAAGGCGGCCUUCUGGACCAUUCCUGACACUCAGACGCGAAAGCUAGGGUAGCAAACGGGCUUAGAUACCCCAGUAGUC
rnacentral:rRNA from 1 species